AUUGAACGCUGGCGGCAUGCCUUACACAUGCAAGUCGAACGGUAACGCGGGGCAACCUGGCGACGAGUGGCGAACGGGUGAGCAAUGCAUCGGAACGUGCCCAGUAGUGGGGGAUAGCCCGGCGAAAGCCGGAUUAAUACCGCAUACGGCCUACGGGUGAAAGCGGGGGACCGUAAGGCCUCGCGCUAUUGGAGCGGUCGAUGUCAGAUUAGGUUGUUGGUGGGGUAAAAGCCUACCAAGCCGACGAUCUGUAGCUGGUCUUAGAGGACGACCAGCCACACUGGGACUGAGACACGGCCCAGACUCCUACGGGAGGCAGCAGUGGGGAAUUUUGGACAAUGGGGGCAACCCUGAUCCAGCCAUGCCGCGUGCGGGAAGAAGGCCUUCGGGUUGUAAACCGCUUUUGUCAGGGAAGAAACGCUCUGGGCUAACACCCCGGGGUAAUGACGGUACCUGAAGAAUAAGCACCGGCUAACUACGUGCCAGCCGCCGCCGUAAGAC
rnacentral:rRNA from 1 species